rnacentral:rRNA from 1 species
GACGAACGCUGGCGGCGUGCUUAACACAUGCAAGUCGAACGGAAAGGCCCUGCUUUUGUGGGGUGCUCGAGUGGCGAACGGGUGAGUAACACGUGAGUAACCUGCCCUUGACUUUGGGAUAACUUCAGGAAACUGGGGCUAAUACCGGAUAGGAGCUCCUGCUGCAUGGUGGGGGUUGGAAAGUUUCGGCGGGUGGGGAUGGACUCGCGGCUUAUCAGCGUGUUGGUGGGGUAGUGGCUUACCAAGGCUUUGACGGGUAGCCGGCCUGAGAGGGUGACCGGCCACAUUGGGACUGAGAUACGGCCCAGACUCCUACGGGAGGCAGCAGUGGGGAAUAUUGCACAAUGGGCGGAAGCCUGAUGCAGCAACGCCGCGUGCGGGAUGACGGCCUUCGGGUUGUAAACCGCUUUCGCCUGUGACGAAGCGUGAAUGACGGUAAUGGGUAAAGAAGCACCGGCUAACUACGUG